GUGGCGGACGGGUGAGUAAUGUCUGGGUAACUGGCCGAUGGAGCUGGAUAACUACUGGAAACGGUGGCUUAUUCCGCAUUACGUCUUUGGACCAAAUGGGGGGACCUUCAGGCGUCGCUUCAUCUGAUGUGCCCGGAUGGACUUAGCUCGUAUGAGGGGUAAUGGCUCACCUCGGCGAACAUCCCUAACUGGUCUGAGAGGAUGACCAGCCACACUGGAACUGACACACGACUGAGACUCCUACGGGAGGCUACAGUGGGCAAUAUUGCACAAAGGGCGCAAGCCUGAUGCAGUCAUGCCGCGUGUAUGAAGAAGGCCUUCGGGUUGUAAAGUACUUUCAAACUCUGGAAGGCAUUAAGGUUAAUAACCUUUGUGAUUGACGUUACUCUUGAAAGAAGCUCCGGCUAACUCCGUGCCAACUACCGCGGUAAUACCCGAGGGUGCAAGCGUUAAUCGGAAUUACUGGGCGAAAAUUGCACGCAAGCCGUCUGUCAAGUCGGAUGUGAAAUCCCCGGUGCUCAACCUGGGAACUGCAUUCGAAACUGGUUGGCUACAGUCUUGUAGAGGGGGGGUAGAANUCCANGUGUAUUCCAUAAAUGCCUAUAGAUCUGGAGGAAUACCGGUGGCACACGCGGCCCCCUGGACACUNACUGACNCUCAAGUGACAAUGCGUGGGCGAGCAAACAGGAUUACAUACCCUGGUAGUCCACNCCGUAAACGAUGUCGACUUGGAUGGUUGUGCNNUGUNGCGUGGCUUCGCANCUAACGCGUUAGUCNACCACCUGGCGAAUCCCGNCGCGAGGUUAGANCUCAAUGAAUUGACGGNGGCCCUGCACAGGCGGUCGGAGCAUGUGGUUUANUUCGUGCAUCAUUAANAANCUUUCCUACU
rnacentral:rRNA from 1 species